AUGAUAUGGAAUGUUGGCUGUCUUGUGGCCCCGCCUUCCGUCCCCACUGAACUGCUGUUGCCCAUAAUGAUUUUAUAAACAUUUUGCCAGCAGAUCAAUACCUGUAUUGAUCAGGCAUUGUGAGAGUGAUCCGUCUAAAACCCAGAACAGCCUAGAGCUCAGAGGUGGGAGGAGCAAAAGAGAGAGGCUGCAUAGAGGAUGGCAAAGGAGAGCGAGUCUGCAACCACAGUGAAAAGGAAAAGAGGUGGAAGGUUGGAAGAGACUGAGGGAGAGGCGGACGCAGAGAUGGAAGCAGGUGAGGAUGCAGAUUUCGGAAAAUGCUGCUAGGCCGUUGGGACUAAGGAAAACAAAUGAAAGAAACUCUUGAAGAAGAGACGGAGGCAUCUGAGAGCACACUGCGGCUCUAAAUCUAAUUGCUGCAAAAUGAUCAAAACUUACAUUUCCUGAAACAUUCUUAACAUUCAGGAGAGGAAUAAUUCCACAUCAUCAUUAUGGAAGAAGAACUGCAAAAGCAUGUAAAGGCGAUGUUAAUACCAAAGACAAACAUGGCAGUAUGAAGACCAUCUUCAACAUACAGGAUUGCUGCCGCUUUGUAAACACGUGGAUGGCUGGCUUUUUGGAUUACUUUUUACUGUCUGGGAAUUCACUAAAUUGGAUGAUUGCUUUACAUUUAAAACACAAGUAGGAGAUUUAUUGAAGCGAUGACUCACUGGAUGACUCAACACAAGUUCAAGGCCACAAUCUGCCCUGCGCUGGAGGACAAGUCAAAAGCUUUUGCUGUGAUUCCCUCGUGCUGUGGGGAAAUCAAGUUUCAUUGAUUGGUUUUUAAAUAAGAUGUGUUGUGCAUAAAUGAGGAUCUGAAGGAAGAUGAAUUCCUCAAACGAACUGUAGGGAAAGACCUUGAUGCACAUGAACUCAUGUGCUCUGGAGACUAGUGUGGAAGCACUCAAUGAAAAGGCCUGAUGGCUCAUGCCUCCCUGACCACGCUAAAAAACAAAAAACAAAAAGGACUUUGGCUUAUCAAGGCUUAUUAAGGGCAAGAGACACUUGUAAACAAUUUUCCUAAUGAAUUAACAAAAAACACACAUUGCACAUCUCAGAGGAUAAAGGAUUUAUGGUGACUUUUAAAUUUUGAUAAAAUUUUAUCAGCUGACCUUUUGUGUAUCUUGUCACCUUUCAAACAAAGCAUUUUCCAGAGAUUUUAUGUACUGUAGUAGACCAAUACAAAUGAUGCAUUAUUGUGAGCCAAAAGGAAAAGGAUAGAAAGACUACACAAAUAAAAAUCUGAGAACUACGGUGUGUAUUUGAA